CAGUAGCCGCGGUAAUGCGUAGGUGGCAAGCAUUGUCCGGAAUUAUUGGGCGUAAAGGGCUCGCAGGCGGUUUCUUAAGUCUGAUGUGAAAGCCCCCGGCUCAACCGGGGAGGGUCAUUGGAAACUGGGAAACUUGAGUGCAGAAGAGGAGAGUGGAAUUCCACGUGUAGCGGUGAAAUGCGUAGAGAUGUGGAGGAACACCAGUGGCGAAGGCGACUCUCUGGUCUGUAACUGACGCUGAGGAGCGAAAGCGUGGGGAGCGAACAGGAUUAGAUACCCGGGUAGUCCCUGUCUCUUAUAU
rnacentral:rRNA from 1 species